AUGUAUCACUCAUGCACCCCUGAUUCUUGUGUCGUUCACGCCCCCCACGGCGGCUCGCUCCGUGUUGUUAGUC
rnacentral:sRNA from 5 species